rnacentral:rRNA from 1 species
AUUGAACGCUGGCGGAAUGCUUUACACAUGCAAGUCGAACGGCAGCACGGACUUCGGUCUGGUGGCGAGUGGCGAACGGGUGAGUAAUACAUCGGAACGUGCCCAAUCGUGGGGGAUAACGUAGCGAAAGCUACGCUAAUACCGCAUACGAUCUAAGGAUGAAAGCGGGGGAUCGCAAGACCUCGCGCGAUUGGAGCGGCCGAAGGCAGAUUAGGUAGUUGGUAGGGUAAAGGCCUACCAAGCCGACGAUCUGUAGCUGGUCUGAGAGGAUGAUCAGCCACACUGGGAAUGAGACACGGCCCAGACUCCUACGGGAGGCAGCAGUGGGGAAUUUUGGACAAUGGACGCAAGUCUGAUCCAGCCAUUCCGCGUGCAGGAUGAAGGCCCUCGGGUUGUAAACUGCUUUUGUACAGAACGAAAAGGCUCUGGUUAAUACCUAGGGCUCAUGACGGUACUGUAAGAAUAAGCACCGGCUAACUACGUGCCAGCAGCCGCGGUAA